CUUUGUGAAAGAAAACAUUGGGGUUUCUUUGGCUGUUCUUGAUAAGCCUAUAAAAAAUGACAUGUUUUAGUUGCUUCUAGUUGCUGAAGUCAAGGAACCCUGCAGCCUCCCCAUGCUAUCUGUUGACAUGGAACACAAGGAAAAUGGCUCUGUCGGUGUAAAAAAGAUGGAGGAGGAACUAAUGUUCCCACACAAUAGAUGCUAAUAGUAAGUUAGCAACUUCUCAACAACAAGUGGUUUAUCUCCCCACCACCACCAUGCCCCUCACCCCUCAGUGGAGAAGCUCUACUACAAGAGAAAGUUCACAGCAACAAAGUUUAGCAACUUUCAAAAGAAGCUCUUUCUUAUUAGAACCACGCCUUUUC